GUUAUUUUAGAGUCAGGAUCCGGAGGCCGCUCAGACCAGCAGCUCGCAUCUCUUCCUUACCGUCUUUCUGCAAGCCGGCCUACCAGCACGCUUCAUUUUCUGGAUGACUGUAAAUAUGUUGCUGGUUCUGCAGGGAAAACAGGAAUCAGUGUACACAGCAGCAGCAAUUGGGUCUGGGUUUUUCAAGCCUCAUCUUUGCUCUUUCUGACCAUCACUGAUCUACAGCUCGGUAAGCGGACCCGCCAUUUCUAACAUGGGCUGUGGAGACCCUUCAUUGACCUCAUCAGGGCUCCAAAGCGGCAGUCUCCUCACGAAGCCUCCGAGGAACAUGGAGUGUCUCCAGGUCCAGCGUCUGUAGACCAUAGGUUAUGGUUUUCACUGUGAAAAGGGAAUAUUUGUAGGAAACAGUGAAAGACAAGAGAUGCUGUUCUGGGCAUGUAUGGGGAAGAUGGUGUCAAAUGGCAGGACAAACCACUGUGGUAACCUCCAAAGUAAUUACGGACAUCUGGGUUGAUGAAAAGAACCAAAGGAUGGCAGGCAUUCUGCGUUUGGGACUAGGUUUUCCCAAAGGAGGAUAAAUGGAAAAAACAUGUUUGCUUUAACUGCUGACUCAUGGUACAAAGUUUUAAUUCAGGGGCUUUAAUUGAAAAUGCAUCAAGAAUGUCAAAGAUUUACAUAGAAAAUGUUUUAGUAUAUUGGCAAGAUACUGAUUCCAAAACCAGAUGGCCAUUGUAGAAAAACCAGCCCAGGGGCCUUUGUUUUCCUUCUGUUUCUUUUUGUGAGGUGUUUUCUUUUAUAAUUUUUUUUUUUUUAGUAUUUCAUUAAUUAUAAGCAACACCACCUUCUUUUUAAGACUGAAGAAUAAUUAUGGAGUUUUGAAACACAUAUUACACUUUAAAAAUAUAUAAAGUCAUCAUGACUGAAAGCUGCGAUAUGAAAGCAUUCCUGCGAUUGAGGCUUUGCAUCCCAGACUCUCAUUCCCUCUCCCUAGGGUCUGAUCUAAUGAGGCCAUAUUUCUCAGUUCCUAUUGCCCAUGACUGUUGUCUCUGUCAGGGGUCAUUCACUUGCAACAGAAGGUUGGACCAGGCCUGAAAUUAGCCCAGAAAGUACAGUUUCUUGUAAGAAUAGCAAAAGUUUUCACUGUCCAGAGCCCAUGUUUGGGGGGCGUCACUGAGCUAGACAUCUCAUCUGAAAACUCAUCCAUCUUUCUCUUGAGUCCACAGUGGCUCUCCUCUCUGCACACCUGCUGCGUGAUGACCUCGCUGCUUCCCCAGACUGCCUCGUCAGUCUGCUUUUCUGGAAUUCAUAGGCUGGACAAUGUGGGUUCGAAGCUGUCAUCUUCAUCUUUAUUUACAAAUUAUGCCACCUUUAAAACAUUUUAAGACUCAUUUUGUUUUUAAUUAUGUGUGUCUCUUGUGUGUUUGUGCCAAGUGAGUGCAGGUGCCUUCUGCGGCAGAGAGGUGUCUGAUCCUCUGGAGCUGGAGUUAUAGGCCGUUGUGUGAUGCCCAACAUGAGUGGUGGGAAUUGAACUCAGGUCCUGCCUAAGAACAGUCAGAGCUCUUAACCACUGAGCCAUCUCUCCAGCCUGCAUAAUAUGUGGUUUUGAAAUUUUUUUUCUCUCAUCUUCUGUCCUUUCUUACAUUAGUCAUUAAUUAGGAAUUGUAGGAAGCCAGAGGAGCCAAGGACAGCAGGAGAACAUAGCCCACACUUACCAAUAAUAGGGCUCAUAGAGGCUCACAGAGGCUGAAGUGGUAAUCAUGGAGCCUGCACGGGUCCGAGCUAGGUCCUCUGCAUUUGUACUAUAGUUGUUAGCCUGUGGCUUUGUGGGACUUCUAACAGUGCGAGUGGGUGCUGUUGGGACCUUUUCCUUCUUCUGGCUUGCCUCGCCCAGCCUUGAUGUAAGGGUUUGGGCCUCAGCUUAUUGUACAGUGUUAUGCUGUGUCCAGUGGCUAUCCCUGCUCUCUUGUGAAAGGAAAUAGAGGAGGAGCCGAUCUGGGGGGUGUGGAAGGAAGAUGAGGGCUACUGGGAAGAGGAGGAGGAGGACUGGGAGGAGUGGAGGGAAGGGAAACUGGUCGGGAUGUAUUGAAAGCAAACAAACAAAAAAAAAUCAAAAAUAAAAAGGAAAGAAAGGAAAAAUUAUUCCAUGUCUACUCCCUGUUUGUUGACUAUACAUUUUAAAGAAUUGUUCUUUUUAUGUUUACUACAGAGAUACAA